CCUACGUGAGGCAGCAGUAGGGAAUCUUCCACAAUGGGCGAAAGCCUGAUGGAGCAACGCCGCGUGGGUGAAGAAGGUCUUCGGAUCGUAAAACCCUGUUGUUAGAGAAGAAAGUGCGUGAGAGUAACUGUUCACGUUUCGACGGUAUCUAACCAGAAAGCCACGGCUAACUACGUGCCAGCAGCCGCGGUAAUACGUAGGUGGCAAGCGUUAUCCGGAUUUAUUGGGCGUAAAGGGAACGCAGGCGGUCUUUUAAGUCUGAUGUGAAAGCCUUCGGCUUAACCGGAGUAGUGCAUUGGAAACUGGGAGACUUGAGUGCAGAAGAGGAGAGUGGAACUCCAUGUGUAGCGGUGAAAUGCGUAGAUAUAUGGAAGAACACCAGUGGCGAAAGCGGCUCUCUGGUCUGUAACUAACGCUGAGGUUCGAAAGCGUGGGUAGCAAACAGGAUUAGAUACCCUAGUAGUC
rnacentral:rRNA from 1 species